UGAAAAGUUCGUUCGAGUUUUCCAUAAGAUGGUAGAAAAAACCCCAAAGGAACUUUUU
ensembl:miRNA